rnacentral:rRNA from 1 species
AUUGAACGCUGGCGGAAUGCUUUACACAUGCAAGUCGGGCGGCAGCGCGGGGGCAACCCUGGCGGCGAGCGGCGAACGGGUGAGUAAUACAUCGGAACGUGUCCUUGAGUGGGGGAUAGCUCGGCGAAAGCCGGAUUAAUACCGCAUAAGCUCUGAGGAGGAAAGCGGGGGACUGGUAACGGCCUCGCGCUGUUGGAGCGGCCGAUGUCGGAUUAGCUAGUUGGUGGGGAAAGGCCCACCAAGGCGACGAUCCGUAGCUGGUCUGAGAGGAUGAUCAGCCACACUGGAACUGAGACACGGUCCAGACUCCUACGGGAGGCAGCAGUGGGGAAUUUGGACAAUGGGGGCAACCCUGAUCCAGCCA